CCUACGGGAGGCAGCAGUCGAGAAUCAUUCACAAUGGGGGAAACCCUGAUGGUGCGACGCCGCGUGGGGGAAUGAAGGUCUUCGGAUUGUAAACCCCUGUCAUGUGGGAGCAAAUUAAAAAGAUAGUACCACAAGAGGAAGAGACGUCUAACUCUGUGCCAGCAGCCGCGGUAAUACAGAGGUCUCAAGCGUUGUUCGGAAUCACUGGGCGUAAAGCGUGCGUAGGCUGUUUCGUAAGUCGUGUGUGAAAGGCGCGGGCUCAACCCGCGGACGGCACAUGAUACUGCGAGACUAGAGUGAUGGAGGGGGAACCGGAAUUCUCGGUGUAGCAGUGAAAUGCGUAGAUAUCGAGAGGAACACUCGUGGCGAAGGCGGGUUCCUGGACAUUAACUGACGCUGAGGCACGAAGGCCAGGGGAGCGAAAGGGAUUAGAUACCCGUGUAGUC
rnacentral:rRNA from 1 species